GGUCCGAUGGUGUAGUUGGUUAUCACUUCUGUCUAACAUUUGCACGUGACUUCUAAGCAAUCGCGUAAUGUGAACACAGGCGGUCCUCAGUUCGAACCUGGGUCGGAUCA